GUCGUCUUCUUCUUGUGUCCUUCGUUCGGAUCUCUGAGCUGCGGCUGCUCUUUUUGACCGCUUCCAUCUCCAAUCUCAUCCUUGAACCCAUUACAGAAAUAUUCACUGAAAUGGCUGGGGGAGGAGGGAUCCACCAGCUUUUGAGGAGGAAGCUUCAGCAACACUCUGCUGCCUCUUCAUUUUUAUCUAUCUUUGCUUCAAAGAAAGUUCAUGAUGAUGCUGGAACAGCAGGUAUGAAUUCCCUAAGAACAUUUGCACUCCUUGGAGCUGGCCUUUCUGGGUUUCUGGGUUUCGCAACUGUAGCAUCUGCUGAUGAGGCUGAACAUGGCUUAGAAUGUCCAAGCUAUCCUUGGCCUCACAAAGGCAUUCUCAGUUCAUAUGACCAUGC
rnacentral:misc_RNA from 1 species